GACGAACGCUGGCGGCGUGCUUAACACAUGCAAGUCGAACGGUAAGGCCCUUCGGGGUACACGAGUGGCGAACGGGUGAGUAACACGUGGGUGAUCUGCCCUGCACUUCGGGAUUAGCCUGGGAAACUGGGUCUAAUACCGGAUAGGACUCCGGACUGCAUGGUCUGGGGUGGAAAGCUUUUGCGGUGUGGGAUGGGCCCGCGGCCUAUCAGCUUGUUGGUGGGGUGAUGGCCUACCAAGGCGACGACGGGUAGCCGGCCUGAGAGGGUGACCGGCCACACUGGGACUGAGAUACGGCCCAGACUCCUACGGGAGGCAGCAGUGGGGAAUAUUGCACAAUGGGCGCAAGCCUGAUGCAGCGACGCCGCGUGAGGGAUGACGGCCUUCGGGUUGUAAACCUCUUUCAGUAGGGACGAAGCGCAAGUGACGGUACCUACAGAAGAAGGACCGGCCAACUACGUGCCAGCAGCCGCCGUAA
rnacentral:rRNA from 1 species